AUGUACUUUAAAAACAUGAGGAAUCAAGAAACUUAUAGUCUAAAGGAGGAGAACAGAAGAUAUUUGUACGUGCUCUAAAAAUGUGAGGAAUCAAGAAAUUUAUCUUACCCUAAAGGAAGAGAACAGAAGACACUUGCAUGCACUUUAAGAAUAUGAGGAAUUGGAAAAACCUGAAGGGAAGAGAACAGAAGAUACUUGCACGUGCUUUAAAAACGUGAGGGAUCAAGAAAUUUAUGCCCUAAAGGAAGAGAACAGAAGACACUUGCACGCGCCCUAAGAAUAUGAAUCGAGAAACCUACACCCUGAAGGUAACGAAGCCCUAAGUGACAGCGGAAGCGAGGAUUUUAAGUGCGGAGCCGAAACACAUAUUUCUGGACGCCGUCUAUAUUUACACUUGGUGUGCACCUAUGCGCAGGAGAGGCGCUGAGCGAUUUACGCGUCUGGAACUCCCGGCAUUCCGCGCCAUUUUCUUUGUGUCCCGUCAAUUCUCUCUGGAAGCCAGAUACCAGUUUCAAAUUCCGUUUAUACGCUAUAUCCUCUCUCUCUCUCUCUCAACUGACUUGCCAAUUCACGGUUAAACCCUCCAUACACGAUUUAAAUUGUCCGCCAGACUUGUCUGUCUGGAUACGUCUGUCAUGGAUUUAGAUGUUUGGACGAGUUUGAGAUGGAACUGCACUGUUAUUUUAGCUUGAGCAUCUGAGAUUGGUGAACGUGUAGAGAUUGCAGGAAAGAUUGUUGAGAUUUGCGAAUGAUGCCUUGCACGAGGAGUUGUUAUUAUCUCGUGACUAGUAAUGGGUUAGAGAAUCACUUGGUAUAGAUUCGAAUCAGUUUAAAUAAUGAAAAUUUUGGUAAAAAAUCUUGCUUUUAUAAGUUUGCAUCUAUCUUUUUAUCGCUUUCACUUAAAUCUUAUUAACUGCUACUAUUCCAU